rnacentral:rRNA from 1 species
AUUGAACGCUGGCGGCAGGCCUAACACAUGCAAGUCGAGCGGUAGCACAGAGAGCUUGCUCUCGGGUGACGAGCGGCGGACGGGUGAGUAAUGUCUGGGAAACUGCCUGAUGGAGGGGGAUAACUACUGGAAACGGUAGCUAAUACCGCAUAACGUCGCAAGACCAAAGAGGGGGACCUUCGGGCCUCUUGCCAUCAGAUGUGCCCAGAUGGGAUUAGCUAGUAGGUGGGGUAACGGCUCACCUAGGCGACGAUCCCUAGCUGGUCUGAGAGGCUGACCAGCAACACUGGAACUGAGACACGGUCCAGACUCCUACGGGAGGCAGCAGUGGGGAAUAUUGCACAAUGGGCGCAAGCCUGAUGCAGCCAUGCCGCGUGUAUGAAGAAGGCCUUCGGGUUGUAAAGUACUUUCAGCGGGGAGGAAGGCGAUAAGGUUAAUAACCUUGUCGAUUGACGUUACCCGCAGAAGAAGCACCGGCUAACUCCGUGCCAGCCGCCGCGGUAA